GACGAACGCUGGCGGCGUGCUUAACACAUGCAAGUCGAACGGUAAGGCCCUUCGGGGUACACGAGUGGCGAACGGGUGAGUAACACGUGGGUGAUCUGCCCUGCACUUCGGGAUAAGCCUGGGAAACUGGGUCUAAUACCGGAUAGGACUCCGGACUGCAUGGUCUGGGGUGGAAAGCUUUUGCGGUGUGGGAUGGGCCCGAGGCCUAUCAGAUUGUUGGUGGGGUGAUGGCCUACCAAGGCGACGAAGGGUAGCCGGCCUGAGAGGGUUACCGGCCACACUGGGACUGAGAUACGGCCCAGACUCCUACGGGAGGCAGCAGUGGGGAAUAUUGCACAAUGGGCGCAAGCCUGAUGCAGCGACGCCGCGUGAGGGAUGACGGCCUUCGGGUUGUAAACCUCUUUCAGCACAGACGAAGCGCAAGUGACGGUAUGUGCAGAAGAAGGACCGGCCAACUACGUGCCAGCCGCCGCCGUAA
rnacentral:rRNA from 1 species